CUGAGGACAAUUUAGAAUCACCAAUCAACCCAGAGAGACAUGCGAACUCCACACAGAAAGGCCUGGAACGACCAAGGCUCAAACCCACCACCUUCUUGCUAUGACAGCCUUCAGCUAAUCUACAUUCCCUGGCAGGCUGCUCCCUGUCAGCCAGCUGCUGCAGUGCCCACCUGGUCCUCGGUGAUCUGCUUGGAAGGGGCAUUGAUGCCAAGCUCCUCCAGCGGGUAGAUGAUCUGGCGUCGCGGGCGGACAGGGACCGCGCAGUUGAGGACAAAAUCCAGAUGGUGGACACAGGAAUUCUGGGUGCAGAAGAAGAGGGCACAAUGUCAGAGAGCUCAGAAAGAGAAAAUCUCCUCUGAGGUCAAACAGCAUCAGUGUGGGGGCUCAGGAGGCAACUGGAAGACGACACAGUGAUAAUGAGCUCUGGUGAAGAGGUUAGAUGAUGCAAGGUUUACACCGCUGAUAUGAGCUGCCUGGAAAACAUCACCCAGGGCUUCAUCCACUGCCUGAUCAGAGCUAAUUCUCUGUUUAUCUUCUGCCAUUAUUCUCUUUGCACAUCAUCAUCUCCCAAUCUGGUGCUUGUUUGUGGAAGGUAAUUAACAGAGAAAGUGGAGGCCUCUACACGUUGAGGAAAUGUCUCAUUAUGGUGUGGAGAGGUGGAGCUGGCAGCACUGUCGGCACCUGCUGCCCUGACCCCGGGGACAGCAGCCUGCUGAGGGCGGUACUCUGCAAAAAAUGCUGCUGCUUAAAGCUGUUAUAACAUUUUUAUAAAUACAAAUCCAUCUCUGUGAUCAGCCUGAACAGCUGCAGAAGACAGUGUGAUCUGAGAUGCUGUAGACUUUGUUCUCUUCCUCCAAAUGUAUCACAAGAAAAAUAAAACAGAACAAUUUUAAAGUUUUAUAUCAAACAAUGGUGAAUACAGAUAUUGUGUGCUCACCUUUAUUUCACUUUCCAAAUACAUGGUAUAGCUACUUUAGCUAAACUGGACUAGUCUGAUGUGUAAUGUUGUUCACUUUGGUGUGAAGCAGGUGGUGAGCAAAAUGGUAUUACAACCAACAAGGAACAUUAAAUUAUUGCCAAAAAUACAAAAAGAAAAUAGAAAAGGCAGUUUAAAAAAAAGACAAUACGUAUAAUAUUUAAUCCAAAUUUUAAACAUCAAGGGUCAUAUAGGUUUGGCAGGACAGAGGAUAACGAUCAGACUGUUUUUCAAGUCUUAGUAAAAUGUUUACCAUCAUUUCUAAUCACGCAUAUUAGAGCCUCCAGUUUGAAAGGGCAAAUAUUUAGGGCAUCAAAAGUAUUUUGACAACAAGGUUUUUGAGGGCUAAGAAAUAACCAGACUGCAAAUCGCUGAUUCUCUUGUCUAGAUUGAAAAACAGAAAACCUGUCCAAUAUGUCCUGUCUGGCAGUUUUACUGUUGUUACACUUAUUUGACUUAAAGGACCGUGA